CAAAACCCACCCAAUAAUUUGGUAAACCCGCCAAAUGAACCCCAUUUUUUUAUUUUUUUAUUUAUGAUUAAUUUUAAUAAUAUAAAACUUAAAACUAAUCUUUAUUUCCCCUUUUCCCAGCAAACUCACCUGCACUCGAUUUUCAGAACGAGACCCAUCUCCACCGUUUUUUCCUCUCAAAAUUCAUUCCUCAAAAUCCUCUCUUUAACUCCUAAAAUUCAAAUUCAGAAAUAGAUUCAUCUCAAAAUCCUCCCUUUCCCUGUAGAUUCAUCUCCUUAUAGAUUCAUCUCAAGGAUAGACCAAAAUCCCCAAAUUCGAAAAUCAAUUUUAUGGGCGAGUCGAAGAAGCUGUCCAAAUGAAGCUAGGUUUUCAUGAAACAAGCGCGAUUCUUGAUUGUAGAGGUUCUUAAAAAAGAGAGAUUUUUGUUGCAUGUCUUCUGAUUAUUCUGAGAGGUAUGUUAAUCUCAUUCUUUUUCUUCACCUGGGUAUUCUUUUCUACUCGUUGAAAUUCUUUAGCAUCCCAUGUUUUCCUUGAAGCUGUUUUUGGCUUCUGCUUCAUGCUUCAAUGAAUCUUUCCAGUGUUGAACUUGUACAAAAUAACAGUCAAUUUUGAGGCGAACUGUGUUUAGUUUCCUUGUGUACUUUUUAAACUUAUUGGCUCUGUCUAAAUUUAUGGCCAAUGACUCUGAAAAAGUCAGCUAUUUUCCAGCGCAUAAAAGCAGUUCUGAUCUAAAGUGCUUAAGCAUUUGAUGUCGAUGUUGGCUUCUCUUUAUGUUUUUAUCAAACUGAUAGUUCAACCGUCUCAUUCUUAAAAUAUCCAAGAGUAUCUACUGCUAUAUGGGAACUUAUAUAACUCAUAUUAUGCUUAAGCACUCACCUCGAACUAAUGUAGUUUUAGUGUGUCAAUUCUUGGGCUAUAUUAAAGCUAAAGAUUUGUCAGACCACUGUUCUUAUCUCUGUGCUUUCUUCCUUUUCUUGUUUACUUGCCUAACAAUGACUGUUUAGAUUUGCAUUCUCAACAGGGGAGGGACAACUGAAUUAUAAAGAUCCUCCACCUUCAACCAUAAGAUUGUGGAUUCGAGUCACCAAAGUAGGAAAAGGCCAACUCUAUUAGAAAGAAGUGAUUCACUUUUAGGAAAAUUUGAAAAACUUUUUAGUGCAAAAGCUUUUCAACCUUUUUUGAAACAAAAAACACUUUCAGUUAGUGUUUGUUUGCCUUUCUCUGCCAGUAUGCAAAAAAAGGGGUUGCCUCAAAAGUUGAGACAUGAUGUUAUAACAUGUGACAGUUGCUUGUAAAGACUGAAUCCAGCUUCUGUAACAUGACAGUUUGUCCUCCUCUUUUUGCUAUGUCAGGUAGUUUUUUUCACUUGUAUUAUUAGCUUUUUAACCCAGUGGAUGAUAGGGAUAUAUCUAGUGCUACAGCUGCUUUCAUAUUGGUGAACUAUGACCUUGGACCACUUGUUUGCUGCCCGAAAUUCUUGCUUGUAGAGCAGAUAAAGUCCUUUUAAAUAAUGUUUUCUGUUAUAGAAUUUGAUUUGUAUUGUGACAAUCUUGGUAUUCUUACCACCAAAACAUGUUUCUUUAGUUUUCUUUGUCAUACUUGAUUAUUGAGAUUUUGUUUGAUCAUGUUCUUGUAAUUUAAUUAUUGCUUUUCAAGAUAGAUGUAAUGAAAUAGCAGGCAUUAGGUAUAUCACAUGGAGUUGUGGAGGAAUGAGUAACCAAUAGACAACUAUUUUUAUUGAUUGGUUUCGUCUUCAUUUUGUACAAUGGAUUUCAUAAUAUCACUUCAUGGAAAGGGACUACUUAUAGGAAAGAAAUAGUUAUAGUGUAAAUGAUAUAGGGACAACUUAUAGUUGGACGUAAUAUCACUUCAUGGAUUUCAUUAAAUAGGAGAAAUUACAGAAAAAAGACUUCAACUGUAACCCAUGAAUAAGGAUUCAUAGUAGUGUCUUUCACUUUGGAUAGCUAAUGAAAAAACUCUAUCAACUACACCUAAUAUUAAUGCAAGAAUUUAACAUUCUUGAACUAAUAGUGAAACAGAAUAGAUGAAUAUAUAAAAUUUAGAUAUCUCUAGUUAGUUUAGAAUUAAAAAGUAAUUAGUAAAACAGAAUAGAUGCCUUAGUGCUGGUUUAAAGGAUAUUCUCUACCAUUUCUUGAAGAGAUAGAGGAAGUAUCCAUGAAUAAACAAUUCAUGAAUAAACAACGGAAUAGGACAUAGACUAUUACAAAUAAGUGACGUGAGUACCAAAAAGCAUUGAAUCCGGUGAGUUUCUAAUAGAGAAACAUAAGAACGUAGGAAUAGAAAACAUUUGAAACAGAGCAAAAGAUUAAUCCAGUAUGUUGCUUCUAUUGUUUUUAAGAGCUUAGAAUUUUAGCAACUCAGCAUAGAAAUUAAAGAGUAAAAUUAGUUAAGAUGCAACCAUCACGAGUGAUUAUGUAUGACUCACGGUGAGAAAAAUUCUGUUUCUCGAAUGUGAUGAUAUCUCCACAGAUUCAUUUUCAAUGCCUAAGGUGAACAAGUAUCGGAAGAUAAAAAGAGAAGAGAACCAAAAAGAGAAGAGUCUACAUGAUACUUUAAACAUAAAAAGAGAUUCUAAUUAUCCAACUAACAGUCUUAACUUGUUCCCUAUAUCUGCCUUAGAUUGAGACUUAAGAUUAGUACAAUAUUCAUGAUUGCAGGGAACAUAAGAAUUUAAUUGGUAAUCGCAGUAGAUCAAAUGCAUGGGAAAGGGCAAGAAAUCAUAGUCGGGAAUUCAACAAUUGGUUUGCUGAGAAAGUUAAAAAUAUUGAAGUGCCCAAUUAUGUAAGAUGGCUAGCUAAAGGGCCUAAUGCGAUCGCCAAAAGAUAUACUGCAUAUUUCAUUAAUGGAUACUGAUUUCAUACCAUAGAACGGGAUUCCCGAUGCAAGACUCAAAAUAAUGAAGUGACUUUAUCGGCAACAACCAAUAGCUUUGCUAGAUCUAGGGACCAAAAUCUCAUCGAUGGUGAGGUUAUCUAUUAUGGAGCUAUUUAGGAUAUCAUUGAGAUUAAUUAUUGGGCUUGUUUUAGUGUUUUACUAUUUAGAUGCGACUGGUUUCGUAAUGAAAUAGAUGAAUAUGGGUUAACCCGUGUGUACUUUAAGAAAUUAUGUAGUACAAAUGACCCUUUUUUAUUAGCAUCACAAAUUUAUCAAGUUUUUUAUGUGGAGGAUCCUAUUGAUAAAGAUGUUCAUUAUGCAAGGAAUAAAGUCCCUGUUGAUUUAUAUGAUUUAGAGGAAGAAAAUUGCCCCAAUAUUGAAGAUGCAUUUUGGAGAGAGCCUAAUGAUGACGUUGGUUCCUUAAGUGGAUUAGUUGAUGUUGAGUUUGGAUGCUCAAGAAACGAUGUACCCGUUGACGUCGUUGAUAUUCCAUCUAAUGCACAACAUUCACAUGAUACAAUUAUAGAAACCUCGGAAGAGGAGAAUGAGUUUGAUGAUACUGAUUGGGACGGGAUGAAAUCAGAUGAUUAAAGAAGAAACUUCUUAUAUUCUUUUAAAUAUAUUCUAUUUAGAGUGAGUAAUAAUAUUUUUUAUUAAUAUUUUAUAAUUACUCUUUUUAUAUAAUUUUAAUAAUUUAUAUACCCAUAGGGAAUUUCAUGACAGUAGCUUGAAAAAUUUUAUCUUUACAUCCCUUUGUUCACUUCUAGUAGUUCCUAAUCUUAUGUGAUAAAGGAAAUGGUUAGUGUAAGUGAUCUUGUAAAGAACUUACCCUAAUGAUCUGUCCUUGUUCAAAUAAUUUUAUCUAUUAAACUAAGCCAAUGUGUUAUAAUGGACCAUAUACUAACUCAUAUACUAAGUGGACCUAUUUGCAUAUUUGUGUGUUAAUGUACUGUGAGUUGUUAGUUUAACUAUUAAGGUGAUCAUGUCUCAGUGAGAUGUCUGCCUGCUCUUAGCUCUAUUGGUGUCAUAGAAGUAUUAGAGACCUACUCUUUCAAUAUAAACUUGCCUAAGAGAACUGUGAGCAUUAGACCUAUAGUGAAACCAACAGAACAUGUGCUUAAACUCCCUCUGCAUAAUGUAGGUCUGUUAAUAUUUCUAAGCCUAGGAGAUAUGAGUGGUGAAGCAUGCUUCCUACCUACACUUUGUAAUAUUAUAUCCCAAUAGUAAUCUCAUGCCUACCUUUUCUCCAUACACAAAAAAGAGGAUCUAUUAUUUUGCUAGCUAUGUCAAGGGACCUGAGCAUCCAGGUCGCCUAAGAUUGUAUGGACGUAGGGUUACCAAGGCUUCCUUAAAAAGAAAAGUGGGAGAUUUUGGAACCUCUUUAAGUUCUACUGAUAAGGUGAUGGAGCAAAAAUUGGAGGAAAUGGAAGAAAGGAAAGAUUGUAGGAAAAGUUCAAUGCACAAAAAGAUGCCAUCGAACUACAAGUUGCAGUUAACAUCAUUUCACAACUUAAGCAUCUGAAUCCAGAUUUACGGGUUGAUCCCAGCAUGCUAGCUUUCAAUGCUCGUUCACCUGGAGAAGUUUCCUCUGCACAACAAGCUGUUGUGCAACUAAUCAAUCGUCUAUCUACUGGGAGUAAUAAUCAAGGUCAGUACGUCUAUCUUGGCUCUGCAACCUUACUUUUGGAUUGUGAUGAGACAUGGAGAAAAUGAUAAUUUAGUUAGUUCAACACGAUGGGUUGUUUGGUCCAGUAUGUUUGAUCUAGUAUGUUUGUUCUUGUCAUUGAUUGGUCUAGUAUGUUGGCCCCUUAAAAUAGGAUAUGGUGGGUUGCUUGGUCUUGUGUUUGGGUUUCAAUGUUAAGGGAGAGUAGUUAUUCAAGAAUCCUGAGUAUGAGGUUAUUAUAGCUGCAAGGCUUACAUUGUCAAGGCUUAUGUAUUUUCUGGCAGUAAGUUAUUACAACUUACAUUGUCAAGGCUUAUGUAUUCGGAUUACUUCUGCUCCUUUCUCAAUUCUUCUCUUUGCUUUUGGUUUUUAUUUACUGCGUGCGUAUACACAAGACAUGUUGGUUUGUUUUCUUAUUUUUAUUGCUUGUUUAUAAAUCUCAAUUUGUCUACAACUAUAUGGUAGUCCAAUUUACUUGUUAUUUGGUUAGUUUUGACUAAUGUCCUAUCAUAUGUAGAUCUGCUAUUGCCCUAAGAAAUGGAACUCAUAUGUACCCACCAAUGUAACAUAACUUCCAGCUGGUACAGAGCUUCGUCAAGUUAUUGUAAUAAAUUUGGAUUUUGACCCAAUGUUGUAUGAUAGUUAUAGACUUGUAUGUGUCAUUAAAUCAAAUGGGGUUUAUGAAUUUUCUGUAUACUCAUCAGAAACUAUAAUUUGGAGAGAUUCUAAGGAGAUAUUGAAUAUAAAGCAGGAAUGUUUUUUAGCUCAGGGUGUUUUCUUGAAUGGGUGUAUGCAUUGGGUUAGUGAAAAUGGAUCCUUUUUAAGAUUCAAUUUGGAUUCACUAUGCUUUAAAACUAUGCCUAGCACUGUGAUUCCAAAUGGCAUGUUAAAAAGGAAUAUAAGGUAUUUUCGGCAGUCAAGUGGACAUUUGCAUCUUAUUGAGGUACAGGGGUUUAGUUUAAUGAGUUUUAAGGUUCUUGAAUUGGAAAGUGAUUACUAUCAGUGGUUUGUGAAAUAUCGUGUUGAUCUUAGUUCUGUGCGUACUAUGUGUUUUGCAAUUUAGACUAGGACUUUUAUGCAUUUUGUCUUCUUUUUUUUCCUUGUCUUUGAGAUUCUUACUGUUAUUUUGUGUAAUUUGUUACUGAACUUUGAUAAAUAAGUCCACUUGAUUGGUUCCGUAAGAAAAUAUUCCUAUCAUAUAUGUGAAACAAUAGUAGAAUGAUUAAUUUGUUGUACAAAGUUCCCAAUAUAUCUUUCUUCGCUUGAUUUCCUUGCUUUAGUUGUUCAACUUUGUGCUUUAUGCAUUAUUUAUGGACCAGACUCAUUCUUAUAAUGAUAAACCAAACCUUGGAGGAUAAUGAAUGUAUUUAUCCUCUUUUGUAGGUGGAUCAAUUAAAGAAAGGGAAGAUGGAGAUUGCCAAUAUCUAGACCUUACUUAAGAAUUUUAAAUUAUUGUCCAUGUUCUAGGAAUCUUUUGUUAUCAACAUUUGAAACUUACUCUAACUCUUGAUGUUGAAAUGUAAGACUUAUGUGAUUUGGGUUAAAACAUUUUGGUUUUAUGGAGAUAAUAUAGAUUAUGAAGUAUUUUAUUUUUUUAUUUAUAU
rnacentral:lncRNA from 1 species